rfam:Heterocephalus glaber contig202657, whole genome shotgun sequence.
UAAUAUAUACCAUACCACCCUGAAUGCACCAGAUCUCUGUCUUGGAAGCUAAGCAGGGUUGGGCCUGGUUAGUACUUGGAUGGGAGUUCUGUUUCUUCGAAGAACACAUUAAAAUACUAC